rnacentral:rRNA from 1 species
UACGGAGGGAGCUAGCGUUAUUCGGAAUUACUGGGCGUAAAGCGCACGUAGGCGGCUUUGUAAGUUAGAGGUGAAAGCCUGGAGCUCAACUCCAGAAUUGCCUUUAAGACUGCAUCGCUUGAAUCCAGGAGAGGUGAGUGGAAUUCCGAGUGUAGAGGUGAAAUUCGUAGAUAUUCGGAAGAACACCAGUGGCGAAAGCAGCUCUCUGGGACGGUACUGACGCUGAGACGCGAAAGCGUGGGGAGCGAACAGG